UUGGAUUUCAUCAACAAAGCCUUUGCUCUGUUAAGGACUUUGUUAGCCAUAAGAUCAUGUGCAGAGAAGGACCCUGUUGAGACAAGAUACAGGCUGGAAGAAUAUAUUUGCAAACCACGUAUCUGACAAAGGAUUAUUAUCUAGACAUGUAAAGAACACUUAAACGCAACAGUAAAGCAAACAAGCCAAUUAGAAAAUGGGCAAAAGACAUGAACAGACAUUUCACUAGAAAGGAUCUCUGGAUGGUGAAAAAGCACAUGGAAAGAUGUUCAACAUUCCUCGCUGUUAGAAAGAUUCGAUGAGUUCUUAUUACACAGCUAAAUUAGAAAAGAGUGACCGCACCAGACGCUGGGAAGGACAUAGAGAAACAGGAUCAUCCACACAUUGCUGGUGUGGAUAUCAAAGGUGCAGGCCACUCCGGAGAACAGGCAGCUCCUUAGAAACUAAACAUACACUUCCCAAUAUGACCUGGCAGCUGCUCUCCUAGCCAUUUAUUCCAGAGAAAUGAGAACUUCCGUUUGCAGAAAUAACCAUGCAUGGUCCCUCAUGGCAGCAUUAUCUGUAAAGCACAAAAAAAAAAAAAAAAAAAAAGGAACUCUCCAAAAUGCCCCUCACUCGGUGGAUGGGUAGGCAAGCUGUGGUCAUCCACACCCAGGAGUAUUACUCAGCCUCAGCAAAGACAGCAACAAGCUACGGGUAGAUCUCAAGGGCAUUAUGCUGAACAAAAGAAGCCAAACCCAAAAGGUCCUAUACUGUAGAAUUCAAUUCAUAUAACAUUAUCAGAAUGACAAAAUGACAGCGAUAGGAAACAGAUUGGUGGCUGCUGUGAGCUAGAGAUGGUGGAGUUGGGGCGGGGAGGAGGCUGUGACUGUGAACAUGUAAGUAUUCCUGUUUCAGGGUUACCAUAACACACGAUCACAAACUGGGUGGCUUAAAACAAUCGGAAUUUAUCUUCUUACUAUUCUGAAAACUACGAGUCUGAAAUCAUGGCGUGGGCAGGGCCACAUUCCCUCUGAAGGCCCUAGGGGGGAUUUGUAUCCCUCUCCCCUCUUCCGGCUUCCAGGGGCUGCUGAGCGUUCUUGGCAUCCUUGGCUUCUAAAUGCAUCCAGCCAGCCUUUGCAUCCGUCUUCGCAUGGCCUCCCCCGGUGUGGACUUCUGUGCCUCUUCCCCGCUUCUCACGAGGAGACCAGUCAUUGGAUUUGGAGCCCGCCUGACUCCCGUAUGACUUCAUCCGUCUUCUCUUGAUUACAUCCGACUGGAAUGAUGGCUUCUAUCUGUUCCAAAGAACUCCAAUAUUGCCUCAAGUGAAGAGGAAAGCCUCAUAUUUCAAGGCCACUGACUGGAGCCCAUUCACAUGCCACAAGGGGACGGAUGCCGUUGUUUUUUUUACGGCGAAGAAAACGGUGAUGUAUUGGAGUCUCAUCAUCCCGUCUCUCCAUCAUUGUUGGUGUGUAGAUCAGCCAGUCUGGCUUGUGUAGCAGGAUUAAAAUGUUAUGUCUCCCAGUGAGCUAGUGAAUAUCAA